UCGGAUAAAAAGCAAACUCCCGGAAUUACGAAUUUCGAGGGAAAUCUAAAUCAAAUUAAGGAGAUUGGAGUGGCGGCCAUGUUCGUUAAUCAAAGAGGAUCCAGACCAUGGGCCACACCGGAGGCGUUGCCGGUGUCCGGUGGGGUUCCGAUACCACCCAACAAAAAAAUGGUCAAAUGCGAUGCUUCUGUUCAUUGCUCUCGUGGUCAUAGCAGACAUUAUCUUUCUGGUUCGGCUUGAUAUUUCAAAAAAUGUAGCCAUGGUGUUGAUUCAUGGCCCGAUUUGUUCUACCGCUCGCCGCCUUCCCGUGCACUGAUCGGUGGAGUUGAUGAUUCGAAUUCCCGGGUAUUCGACGGCGAUCGGAUUUCGGAAUUGGGGAGAUGUGAGGAGUGGUUGGAGAAAGAAGACGCCGUGACGUAUUCUAGGGAUUCCGGAAGGAGCCUAUAUUGGUUUCUGGUUCUGAUGAGGGGAGGAAAUCUUGUGCUAUAGGAAGUGAAUUUAAGGUCAAUUCAAGUAGAGAUUCCGAUGCUGCGUUUGGUUUAGAUCACCAGGGUGGAAUGCCUUCAAUUCUUCAAUCCAUGGUAUCAACUCUAUAUUUUGCAGAGAACAAUAUUGUCCAGGCACGACGGUGGGAAUGGUUAUAGUAUAGUAAUGACCACCAGUCUCUCAUCAGAUGUACCUUUUGGAUACUUCUCCUGGGCCGAGUACGAUAUCAUGGCUCCAGUGCAGGCAAAGAAUGAGAGUGCCCUUGCAGCUGCUUUCAUUUUUGCAGUUGGGUUGACACAGAGGCAAGCUUUAUAUACCUUAAGAUUUCAAGGGGAUUCUGAUCUCAGAAAACAUGUGGAAGAUAACCCAUGUGCCAAAUUUGAAGCCAUUUUCAUAUAGUUUGAUCUGAAGGUCGCUUUAUUUCAUGUUUUCGACUCGAAUAGGCAGCCACAAACCCUUUGUAAAUGUUCUGUUGAUUGUAAAGAGGAAAUUCACACCGCUUCUUCUUAGAGUCCUUACCUUUUCGAUA